rnacentral:lncRNA from 1 species
ACUUAUGAAAUCACUGUUCAAAUGCAGAAUAAACAUGUUUGACACUGGCGAUUCAGCUUCCCUCCUGUGUACACUCAACCAAGCCACAGCAGCAGCAGGGAAAGAGAUCAAAUUUGGAGCCACAAGGAUUGCGAGCGCCGAGCACGUCACCCUUGCCCAGUGGAGAUCGCGGCCCAGAAAGCUUGAGCUGUUGGUGUAAACGAAAAUGGCUGCUUGAAGCUAUGAGAGGAUUGCGCCUGUAGCCAGGGCCGAGAAUUACUUCGACGAGUCACUCCAACCUCGUUAUAUUUUUCCGUUUGUUCUGUGCAUUAAUAUUAGCUAGCAGUCAACACGCUGACCGACAACAGUUUCUUCAUGAGAAGCACCUCUUGCAUUGCGCGCCUCCUUUUCUCACCUUGCAAAGUUUCUGAUAAAAUGAUCGAGCCUUCCCUUUAUGUGGUUGUUUCGUCCAAGAAACAAUGCUCGUCUUCAAGGAUCUCCAUUUUAAAUCUGUGCUUGUCUUGGUCAUUCACUGGAUCUUACAGGUUGAGUCGCAUUACGCGGUAACACAAUACAAAAGAAAAACCGACACAGAAAAAAAGAGAAAGAAGAACUCACCAUGUGGUGCCUUUUGCAGACGAAGAACUGGAUUAGCCACGGAGGAGACCUGGGAAAUCGACGCUAUGCAGCGAGCGAGCACAAGAUCAACUUAGAAACCGCACCUUCGCUCGCUCUCCGGUGGAGAUAUGUCACCCAGGGAGAUGUCUCGGCUACACCGGCGAUUCACGACUGCGCGGUGUAUGUACCAAGCUGGAACGGCAUCGUGGCUGCAGUGGCCAUGGACGGGGCUACGCUGUGGCAAACCAACUUGUCGCAAGUCACAAGCUUGCACCCGGCCGUGUCGAGAGCAACGCCCGUGGUAACCAAGCGAUGUGUGUUAGUCGGCCUUCGCGGACCUGCGAGAGUUCUUUGCCUGGAUCGAAUGACCGGAGAUCUCUUGUGGAUGUCACCGGACCUGGAACUGGCACCACACUCAAUGAUCACAAUGUCAGGAACGGCAUACGAUGGGUACGUAAGAAGAGCUACUCACCGUUUCGAGGAUUUCCGAGUCAUAGCAGCCGCUUUGAUGCCUGCUUUGCAGAGCUUACUACGUAGGAGUGUCGUCCAUGCAGCAGCACGCGAAAUCAUGUUGCACCUUCCAAGGCUCCUUCCACAAACUGGACCUCCAAACUGGCCAAACGGUGUGGUCGACGUACAUGGUUCCUCGGGACAGCCAGUACACGGGAGUACCAGUGUGGGGAAGCAGUCCUGCCUUGGACGAGCGCAGAGGCCUCGUCUACAUCGCUACCGGGAGCGUUUUCUCUGUCCCUUCAGAAGUCCGGCAGUGCCAGCAAGCCACCGGAAACUCGAGCAGCUGCAUCGUGCCCAGCGUCUGCUACAACUCCGUCGUCGCCGUUGACACGAGAGACGGAACUAUCCGGUGGUGCAGUAGGAUGACGAUGAGCGAGAUCUGGGAGAACGCCUGCCGGAGCAUUCGUCCUCCACCAAACUGUCCUCCACGGCCAGAUCCAGACGCUGACUUUGGAGAAAGCCCCAUGCUCGUCACCAUUCAGCAACAAGGAGCAUUGAGAGAUGUUGUCGUCACUGGACAGAAGACUGGCUUCGUGUGGGCUCACGACCGAGAAACUGGAGAGCUCGUCUGGCAUGCGGUACUGAAAAGCUUUUGCCUUCGUAGUAGUGAACUUUGAUCGUUGUAGGUGGCUGGACCCGGCGGAAGCGGAGGUGGAGCGAACUGGGGAUCAGCAACGGACAACUCUCGAGUCUUCACAAACAUCGCCAACAGUGACCGCCAAUCUUUCCUCCACGAGCCAUCGCAGCUUGUAACCACGGGAGGUGGCUGGGUUGCGAUGGCUGCUACAACUGGACGCUUGCUCUGGUCCACUCCCAAUCCAACCGGCCAGCCAGCCUACGGUCCCGU